rnacentral:tRNA from 1 species
GCGAUCGUGGUGAAGUGGUUAACACAUCGGAUUGUGGUUCCGACAUGCGUGGGUUCGAACCCCACCGGUCGCCCCA